AGGGAAUAAUUCAAAAGUACGAAUUGCAUGGAAUGAUACUCUUGAAAAGCUUCAUACCGCUUAGCCAUAAAAUAACUGGGAAUUUGAAGAUAAUUUAAAACAAGGUGACGUAAUGAAAGGUCAAAGCAAUGACUUAUUAUUCCACGACUAGUGCAUCAUUUGUGCCAUUUAGACUGCUUUCGAUUGUUGAAGAUGUGGAUAAAAACAGGUGGUCACCUUUAAUUUUCUGGUAGAGAGUUACAGGUCCUCCUUUGGCAAGAUCGAGGUGAAACAACUAAGGCUACUAUUUUUAGGGUUAAAGAGAGAAUAGAAGGGCUAGGUCACACUCCUUUGAAGAGACUCGUGCCGCUCCAAUCUUCUGAUUUCACCAGUGACGUCAGGGUGGCGAAAGUCUCAGCUUCUCGCUUUACAAAUAAACUGUUUCGCAUCUAA